GACGAACGCUGGCGGCGUGCUUAACACAUGCAAGUCGAACGGAAAGGCCUGCUUUCCCUUGUGGAUUGCGGGUACUCGAGUGGCGAACGGGUGAGUAACACGUGAGUGAUCUGCCCCCAACUUGGGUAUAAGCCUGGGAAACUGGGUCUAAUUCCCGAUAGGACCGCAGGGUGGUGCCUGUGGUGGAAAACGAUUUUCUAGUGGUUGGGGAUGAGCUCGCGGCCUAUCAGCUUGUUGGUGGGGUAAUGGCCUACCAAGGCGGCGACGGGUAGCCUGCCUGGGAGGGUGGACGGCAACAGUGGAACUGAGAUACGGCCCAGGCUCCUACGGGAGGCAGCAGUGGGGAGGAUGGCGCGAGGGGCGGAAGCCUGAUGCAGCGACGCCGCGUGAGGGAUGACGGGCUUCGGGUUGUGAACUUCUGUCGGCCGAGAGGAAGCCACCUGGUUGGAGGGGUGGUGACGGUAGUGGUAGAAGAAGCACCGGCUAACUACGUG
rnacentral:rRNA from 1 species